GCAUUGGUGGUUCAAUGGUAGAAUUCUCACCCUUCAUGUAGGAGACCUGGAUUCAAUUCUCAGUCAACGCA
rnacentral:tRNA from 1 species